CACGUAGGGGGCGAGCGUUGUCCGGAAUCAUUGGGCGUAAAGAGCUCGUAGGCGGCUCAGUAAGUCGGGUGUGAAACCCCCAGGCUCAACCUGGGGACGCCACCCGAUACUGCUGUGGCUAGAGUCCAGUAGGGGAGUGUGGAAUUCCCGGUGUAGCGGUGAAAUGCGCAGAUAUCGGGAGGAACACCGGUGGCGAAGGCGGCCUGCUGGGCUAUGGCUGACACUGAGGCGCGACAGCGUGGGGAGCAAACAGG
rnacentral:rRNA from 1 species